GCCCGCCAGCGAACUACAAGCGAAAGCUUCAAACCCAAAGGACUUGACGGUGCCCCAUACCAGCCUAGAGGAGCCUGUCCUAUAAUCGAUACUCCACGUUCUACCUUUCCUCCCCUUGUAUUUCAGCCUAUAUACCGCCGUCGCCAGCUGGCCUGAUGACAGUCCCGCCAGCAAAACAGUAUAACCACUAAAACGUCAGGUCAAGGUGUAGCUAAUGGGGGGGACAGAGAUGGGCUACAUUUCUCAAAAUAAGACACCACUUAACAAUAUAUGAAAAUAAACUGAAAGGCGGAUUUAGCAGUAAGUCUGGACAAGAAAUGCCACUCUGAA
rnacentral:rRNA from 1 species